GCCAGGUGCGGUGGUGCACGCCUGUAAUCCCAGCAGCUCUGGAGGCUGAGGCAGGAGGAUUGCAAAUUCAAAGCCAGGCUCAGCAACUUAGUGAGAGACUAAGCAACUGUCUCUA
rnacentral:sRNA from 1 species